rnacentral:lncRNA from 1 species
UUUCUCUCUAUGAGGAAAUAUGUGCUUCCCUCCCCCCAGCCAAUUCAGACUACGUAAAACAGAUGGAGGAUUAUUUUCUCUCAUAACAGAAUGUCUGAGAGACAUAACUGAUAAAUUUAGUUAUCUGCUAUUUUCUCCCAUAGUCAUAAGAUGGCUGUCCCUGUUCAGGGCUGGAAAAGGACCAAUGUCAAGGGCACGGGUCUCUUUUUAUUAGGGAUGUCACUUUUUUUUUUUUCAUUGAUCUAUUUUUCUGUUCUUUCACCAUUACCAUUCUGUCUUUCCAGCUUUAUAAUUCACCUUGAGGUCGACUAGUGUUAAGCCUCCCGUUCUCCACUUUGUUUUAGGAAGCAUAACAGCAGAACUAUAGAUGUGCAUUAGUCAUCUUAUGGUGUCAGCCAUGAGUGUAGAUGUCAAGAAACCUUGCUUUGUGGAGGUCCAGGGCAUCGAUGAGUCAGCAGCAGGGGGCUUGCCGUAAAGGAUAUCAAUAGCCCAAACAACAAAACAAAAAACCCAAACUCAAAAACUAUAACCAACACUUGCCAGCUAGAAAAUCUUUGUUCCUUUUCUCUUACUCUCCUUGACCUUUGUUCCUUUUCUCACCACAGGGAACAUGGAAGAUGGAAGGGGCAAAAGAUGAAGAAAGAUUGGAAAACUUCAUCUACUUUUCCCCCCACUGAAAGUUUCUGUGACUAAGCACUUUGUAGCUACUUGGGAGGAUGAGGCAGGAAGAUUGCAAUGUGGAGGCCAGCCUGGGCAAGUCAGUGAGGCCCUAAUUCAAAAACAAACAAACAACAACAACAAAAAACAACAAAACAAAACAACAACAUCAACAACAACAACAAACAAAGGAGAAGAGCUGGGGAUGUAGUUCAAUGGUAGAACACUUGUCCAGUAGCACAAACCAAAGCAAACUAAAAUAAAACAAAACAAAAAAGAAAGUCUUUAAAGAGAUAUACAAGUAGCUGGUAGGAAGGGAGAAGUUCCAAAUCAGAUGGAAGAUUGACAUUUUAACUAUGUUGAAUGUUUUUUUUUUCUCCUUUUAAAAUAUCUUAAGUGAUAACAAAGCAAUGAGAUCUGCUGAUAAUGUUAAAAGGACAGGAUGACCUUAUCAAUUAUUACCAAGUUGUCUUCCUAGCUCUCAUCUGCUGGAAGGACUUUUCCUUGCUAUAGGGAAGCUGGAUGUGUCAGGAAAUUUUAGAAGUAUUUCUAAAAUUUUACAAGGAAAAUUUUAGAAGUAUUUAGGUUUGUUGAAAAGGAGAAAAUUCAGUAGGUGUACUUAGGCUAGACUGAUUGUAACAUAAUAAAUAAAUUAUAGUCUGUUGUUGACUGUGU